GACGAACGCUGGCGGCGUGCUUAACACAUGCAAGUCGAACGAAGAGCGAUGGAAGCUUGCUUCUAUCAAUCUUAGUGGCGAACGGGUGAGUAACGCGUAAUCAACCUGCCCUUCAGAGGGGGACAACAGUUGGAAACGACUGCUAAUACCGCAUACGAUCUAAUCUCGGCAUCGAGGAUAGAUGAAAGGUGGCCUCUACAUGUAAGCUAUCACUGAAGGAGGGGAUUGCGUCUGAUUAGCUAGUUGGAGGGGUAACGGCCCACCAAGGCGAUGAUCAGUAGCCGGUCUGAGAGGAUGAACGGCCACAUUGGGACUGAGACACGGCCCAGACUCCUACGGGAGGCAGCAGUGGGGAAUCUUCCGCAACGGACGAAAGUCUGACGGAGCAACGCCGCGUGAGUGAUGACGGCCUUCGGGUUGUAAAGCUCUGUUAAUCGGGACGAAAGGCCUUCUUGCGAAUAGUGAGAAGGAUUGACGGUACCGGAAUAGAAAGCCACGGCUAACUACGUG
rnacentral:rRNA from 1 species